rnacentral:lncRNA from 1 species
AGCUUUAAAGGACGCCUUGCGUCUCCUCCUCUCUGCGUGGCGUGGGGUCGCUGGCGGUCAGGAGAGGGAGGAACUUCCUGUCCCGUGCGGGCAGGACUUCCGGCCGAGGCGGAAGACCUUUUCCCUCGCGUUUUCUGGAGAUCCGUUUUGCAGAACCUGGAGGGGCGAGUCGGGACCGUACUGUGGACUCUAGAGUGUCUAUAGGCGUUAUGCUUGAGAUGGUAUCAACACCCUUCCGAAGAAGAAUUAAGAAUCCUUGCAGGGAAGCAGCAGAAAGGAAAAAGUAAAAAAGACAGAAAAUACAAUGGCCAUAUUGAAAAUAAGCCACUAACCAUUCCAAAAGAUAUUGACCUUCAUCUAGAAACCAAGUCCGUUACAGAAGUGGAUACUUUAGCACUGCAUUACUUUCCAGAAUACCAGUGGCUGGUGGACUUCACGGUGGCUGCUACUGUUGUGUAUUUAGUAACUGAAGUCUAUUACAGCUUUAUGAAGCCCACACAGGAAAUGAAUAUCAGCUUAGUCUGGUGCCUCCUGGUUUUGUCUUUUGCAAUUAGAAGAUGGAGGUGAGAGGUCAGUUUGUGUCACCUUUGGAUUUUUUUUCUUCGUUAAAGCAAUGGCAGUUUUGAUCGUAACAGAGAACUACCUGGAGUUUGGACUUGAAACAGGGUUUACAAAUUUUUCAGACACUGCGAUGCAGUUUCUUGAAAAGCAAGGUUUAGAAUCUCAGGGUCCUGUUUCAAAACUUACUUUCAAAUUUU